GACGAACGCUGGCGGCGUGCUUAACACAUGCAAGUCGAACGGACAGGCCCUGCUUUUGUUGGUUGCUCGAGUGGCGAACGGGUGAGUAACACGUGAGUAACCUGCCCUUGACUUUGGGAUAACUUCAGGAAACUGGGGCUCAUACCGGAUAGGAGCUCCUGCUGCAUGUUGGUGGUUGGAAAGUUUCGGCGGUUGGGGAUGUACUCGCGGCUUAUCAGCUUCUUGGUGUGGUAGUGGAUUACCAAGGGUUUGACGGGUAGCCGACCUGGGAGGGUUACCGGCCACAUUGGGACUGAGAUACGGCCCAGAAUGCUACGGGAGGCAGCAGUGGAGAAUAUUGCAGAAUGGGCGGAAGCCAGAUGCAGCAACGCCGCGUGCGGGAUGACGGCCUUCGGGUUGUAAACCGAUUUCGACGGUGACGAAGAGUGAGUGACGGUAAUGGGUAAAGAAGCAACGGCUAACUACGUG
rnacentral:rRNA from 1 species